rnacentral:rRNA from 1 species
AAUCAAACUUGCCUUUCUUUUUCUGUGUAGUCAGGGAUGGAAUGUGCAGAUGUGAAGUGUCUCGCAUGGUUGCGUUCGUUUUUUCGAUCGAGAAUCUGUCGAGUCCUUUUAAAUGGACACGGUCUUUUCUAUGGUUUCUAUGAAGUGUAAUGGUUGGAAGGCAGUGAUUUUCGGAUUGCUGGCGGCUUUUGGCGACUUCGGUAUGAACGUAUGGAGACUAGCUCAAUUCGUGGUAUGUUAGGCUUCGGCUCGACAAUGUUGCGUAAUUGUGUGUGGUCUUUGUUUGUGCCUUGAGGUGUACUAGAGGUUGUCGGUUUGAACCGUAAGUGAUUGUUUAGUAGAGCAUUUUCACGAUGUAUGGAGACGCUGCAUUUAGUUGCGUAGAGAGAUUGAUUUGGGU